rfam:Ovis aries breed Texel chromosome 2, whole genome shotgun sequence.
UCCCUGGUGGUCCAGUGGCUAAGAUGCUACAUUGUCAAUACAGGAGGCCCGGGUUCAAUCCCUGGUCAGGCAA